rnacentral:lncRNA from 1 species
AUGGAAAUUAAAGUGUUGAGGAAAUGGUGAAGGAGAGUCUCUAUUUAUAAAAAAUGGGGACUGUUGGAUUUGCACCAAGUGGCAAAAUCUGGUAAGGAGAGACAAAGUCAAUUGAAAAAGUAGGAUGUGAUGACCAACGGAUGGGACCGAUGAAUGGAAGACGCAAUGUGACGGCAACGUGAAAGCUGGAGGCACGCCACCUAAAUGACGGUGGCAUGUCACCCAAGCAACGAUGGCACAUCGCCCAAACUAGCAGCGCGCUCUGCUCGAUGCAGCACACAUUGCUCUAGCCUUCUGCACACCGCAGGCAUACUACGAAGAUGGUGCAUGUGCAGGGCGCGCAUACCAUGCCCCUUGCCCCGCAUGGAUAGGACGAGUGCAUAGUGCGCACGUCCAAUGCUGGUUGUGCACAUGUAAACACGUGUGACAUGCGGAGCCCUUACAGGUGGGAUUUUUCUUGCAUGCAUUCCUGCGGGAUUUUCGUCGUUUUUCUCUUUUUUUCCUGAA